UACGGAGGGUGCGAGCGUUGUUCGGAAUCACUGGGCGUAAAGGGCGCGCAGGCGGCGUGCUAAGUCAGAUGUGAAAGCCCACGGCUUAACCGUGGAAGUGCAUUUGAAACUGGCAUGCUUGAGUACCAGAGGGGAAGGUGGAAUUCCCGGUGUAGAGGUGAAAUUCGUAGAUAUCGGGAGGAAUACCGGUGGCGAAGGCGACUUUCUGGCUGGAUACUGACGCUGAGGCGCGAAAGCGUGGGGAGCAAACAGG
rnacentral:rRNA from 1 species